rnacentral:rRNA from 1 species
UACAGAGGUCUCAAGCGUUUGUUCGGAAUUACUGGGCGUAAAGGGCGCGUAGGCGGCCUUCUAAGUCGAACGUGAAAUCCCCGGGCUCAACCCGGGAACUGCGUCCGAUACUGGAAGGCUUGAAUCCGGGAGAGGGAUGCGGAAUUCCAGGUGUAGCGGUGAAAUGCGUAGAUAUCAUCUGGAACGCCAAUGGUGAAAACAGCUCGCUGGGGGUGUGCAGACGCUGAGACACGAAAGCCAGGGGAGCGAACGGG